rnacentral:rRNA from 1 species
UAAACGACUCUCGGCAACGGAUAUCUCGGCUCUCGCAUCGAUGAAGAACGUAGCGAAAUGCGAUACUUGGUAUGAAUUGCAGAAUCCCGUGAACCAUCGAGUCUUUGAACGCAGUUGCGCUCGAAGCCAUUAGGCCGAGGGCACGUCUGCCUGGGCGUCACAC